rnacentral:rRNA from 1 species
UGCAAGUCGAACGAACCUUCGGGUUAGUGGCGGACGGGUGAGUAACGCGUGAGAAUCUGCCCUCAGGAGGGGGAUAACGGUUGGAAACGACCGCUAAUACCCCAUAUGCCGCGAGGUGAAAUGAAUUUCGCCUGAGGAUGAGCUCGCGUCUGAUUAGCUAGUUGGUGGGGUAAGAGCCUACCAAGGCUUCGAUCAGUAGCUGGUCUGAGAGGAUGAUCAGCCACACUGGGACUGAGACACGGCCCAGACUCCUACGGGAGGCAGCAGUGGGGAAUUUUCCGCAAUGGGCGAAAGCCUGACGGAGCAACGCCGCGUGAGGGAUGAAGGCCUCUGGGCUGUAAACCUCUUUUAUCAAGGAAGAAGAUCUGACGGUACUUGAUGAAUAAGCCACGGCUAAUUCCGUGCCAGCAGCCGCGGUAAUACGGGAGUGGCAAGCGUUAUCCGGAAUUAUUGGGCGUAAAGCGUCCGCAGGCGGUCUUACAAGUCUGUCGUUAAAGCGUGGAGCUUAACUCCAUUUCGGCGAUGGAAACUGUAAGACUAGAGUGUGGUAGGGGCAGAGGGAAUUCCCGGUGUAGCGGUGAAAUGCGUAGAUAUCGGGAAGAACACCAGUGGCGAAGGCGCUCUGCUGGGCCAUAACUGACGCUCAUGGACGAAAGCUAGGGGAGCGAAAGGGAUUAGAUACCCCUGUAGUCCUAGCCGUAAACGAUGAACACUAGGUGUCGGGGGAAUCGACCCCCUCGGUGUCGUAGCCAACGCGUUAAGUGUUCCGCCUGGGGAGUACGCACGCAAGUGUGAAACUCAAAGGAAUUGACGGGGGCCCGCACAAGCGGUGGAGUAUGUGGUUUAAUUCGAUGCAACGCGAAGAACCUUACCAGGGUUUGACAUCCUGCGAAUCCCUUGGAAACUUGGGAGUGCCUUCGGGAGCGCAGUGACAGGUGGUGCAUGGCUGUCGUCAGCUCGUGUCGUGAGAUGUUGGGUUAAGUCCCGCAACGAGCGCAACCCACGUCUUUAGUUGCCAGCAUUUAGUUGGGCACUCUAGAGAGACCGCCGGUGAUAAACCGGAGGAAGGUGUGGAUGACGUCAAGUCAUCAUGCCCCUUACAUCCUGGGCUACACACGUACUACAAUGCUACGGACAAAGGGCAGCAAACUCGCGAGAGCUAGCCAAUCCCAUAAACCGUGGCUCAGUUCAGAUCGUAGGCUGCAACUCGCCUACGUGAAGGAGGAAUCGCUAGUAAUCGCAGGUCAGCAUACUGCGGUGAAUACGUUUCCCCGGGCCUUGUACACACCGCCCGUCACACCCAUGGAAGUUGGUCCACGCCCGAAGUCGUUACUCCAACCCUUGUGGAGGAGGAUGCCGAAGGUGGGGCUGAUGACUGGGGUGAAGUCGUAACAAGGUAGCCGUACCGGAAGGUGCGGCUGGAUCACCUCCU